rnacentral:rRNA from 1 species
ACAUGCAAGUCGCACGGGUGGUUUCGGCCAUCAGUGGCGGACGGGUGAGUAACGCGUAGGAACGUGUCCAGAGGUGGGGGACAACCCCGGGAAACUGGGGCUAAUACCGCAUGGGGGCUGAGGCCCAAAGCCGAGAGGCGCCAUUGGAGCGGCCUGCGUCCGAUUAGGUAGUUGGUGGGGUAAAGGCCUACCAAGCCUGCGAUCGGUAGCUGGUCUGAGAGGACGACCAGCCACACUGGGACUGAGACACGGCCAAGACUCCUACGGGAGGCAGCAGUGGGGAAUAUUGGACAAUGGGCGAAAGCCUGAUCCAGCAAUGCCGCGUGGGUGAAGAAGGUCUUCGGAUCGUAAAGCCCUUUCGACGGGGACGAUGAUGACGGUACCCGUAGAAGAAGCUCCGGCUAACUUCGUGCCAGCAGCCGCGGUAAUACGAAGGGGGCUAGCGUUGCUCGGAAUUACUGGGCGUAAAGGGCGCGUAGGCGGCGGCCCAAGUCAGGCGUGAAAUUCCUGGGCUCAACCUGGGGACUGCGCUUGAUACUGGGUUGCUUGAGGAUGGAAGAGGCUCGUGGAAUUCCCAGUGUAGAGGUGAAAUUCGUAGAUAUUGGGAAGAACACCGGUGGCGAAGGCGGCGAGCUGGUCCAUUACUGACGCUGAGGCGCGACAGCGUGGGGAGCUAACAGGAUUAGAUACCCUGGUAGUCCACGCCGUAAACGAUGUGCGCUGGAUGUUGGGGCCCAUAGGGUCUCAGUGUCGUAGCCAACGCGGUAAGCGCACCGCCUGGGGAGUACGGCCGCAAGGUUGAAACUCAAAGGAAUUGACGGGGGCCCGCACAAGCGGUGGAGCAUGAGGUCUAAUUCGAAGCAACGCGCAGAGCCUUACCAGCCCUUUGACAUGGUCACGACCGGUCCGGAGACGGGCCUUCCCCGCAAGGGG